GGACCGCGGUAAUUCCAGCUCCAAUAGCGUAUAUUAAAGUUGUUGCAGUUAAAAAGCUCGAGUUUGAACUUCAGCCCUGGCCGGGCGGUCUGCCUCACGGUAUGUACUGUUUGGCUGGGGCUUACCUUCUGGUGAGCUUGCAUGCCGUUUAUUCGGUGUGUGAGGGAACCAGGACUUUUACUUUGAGAAAUUAGAGUGUUCAAAGCAGGCAAAUGCCCGAAUACAUUAGCAUGGAAUAAUGGAAUAGGACGUGCGGUUCUAUUUUGUUGGUUUCUAGAGUCGCCGUAAUGAUUAAUAGGGACAGUUGGGGGCAUUAGUAUUGAGUUGCUAGAGGUGAAAUUCUUGGAUUUACUCAAGACUAACUACUGCGAAAGCAUUUGCCAAGGAUGUUUUCAUUAAUCAAGAACGAAGGUUAGGGGAUCGAAAACGAUCAGAUACCGUUGUAGUCUUAACAGUAAACUAUGCCGACUAGGGAUCGGGCGAUCUCACUUUUAUGUGUCGCUCGGCACCUUACGAGAAAUCAAAGUCUUUGGGUUCUGGGGGG
rnacentral:rRNA from 1 species